CAUGUCCAUCAGUCGGAAAAACUGGUUUGCUUUGUCCAGCCUUGCACGACAAUGGACGAUGGAGGACGAGGAGGAGGUGGAGAGGGAGAAGAGGAGGAGAGGGAGGAGCAGCAGUACUGCUGACCCAGAUGCUGACUCUGACUCUCUUCCCAGAACUCCAUCCAGCAAUGGUGGCACAUCUGGGACUAAACCUUCCGGUGACACAUCUCUGGAUCUCAGCAGCGUUGAGCAGCUUCAGGUAGACUUUGUGGAGAUGCUUCGAGCGCGAGAUGAAAAGAGGAGGAUGAGGCAGGUGGAGACGCUGAGACGGCAGAAGGAGGAAGAGGAGGGUGAUGAGAAGGAGAGAAGUGGAGAAGAAGGAGAUGGAAGGGUCGUGGUGCUGGGGGAGUUGGAUGAGGGGAAGGACAGCGUGUUCAAACCACAAUCUCCUUCAAAAAGUACCUCUGAAAGCAACAAAUUCAGCAGGAAAGCUGCAACAUCAAGCACACUGCAUGAAAAAGAAGAGUCAUUAAAAAUGGACCCUGAGUCUAAACCAGAGCCCCGUCCAGCUCGCAAGUUUGUCAGAAACCUGUCAUAACUCCUCUGCUAUAGUUGAAGAUCUGGUGUGUGAGACCUUAAGUAAAUGCUGAAGCAAACCAGUACCUCUGGUUUCCUCUAUGGAGACAAAAG
rnacentral:lncRNA from 1 species